AACGAACGCUGGCGGCAUGCCUAACACAUGCAAGUCGAACGAGACCUUCGGGUCUAGUGGCGCACGGGUGCGUAACGCGUGGGAACCUGCCCUUAGGUUCGGCAUAACUCCCCGGGAGGGGUGCUAAUACCGGAUAAUGUCUUCGGACCUAAGAUUUAUCGCCUUUGGAUGGGCCCGCGUUGGAUUAGCUAGUUGGUAGGGUAAAAGCCUACCAAGGCGACGAUCCAUAGCUGGUCGGAGAGCAUGAUCAGCCACACUGGGACUGAGACACGGCCCAGACUCCUACGGGGGGCAGCAGUGGGGAAUAUUGGAGAAUGGGCGAAAGCGUGAUCAAGCAAUGCCGCGUGAGUGAUGAAGGCCUUAGGGUUGUAAAUCUCUCUUACCCGGGAUGAUAAUGACAGUACCGGGAGAAAAAGCUCCGGCUAACUCCGUG
rnacentral:rRNA from 1 species